GGCAGCCCCCAUCCACCCCCCGCGAGGAAGCGGCUCCCGAUGCCAUAGAGAUCACCAAACCUCGGGGUGCCAUAGAGAGCACUACUUCCAGAACGUACAAAAGAAAAGAAAAAGUCCUUCUAUUUUCUAUGGAUUUUUAUGAUGAAGUAGCCGAUCCUUUGCUUACUGGAGUUAGACUAUAAGGAAAAUGCCAUCUCAGAUUUGAUUCAAAACAGUUUUAAACAUUAUUAUGAUGGCUCUGAAAUAGUUGUGGCUGGACGAAUUACAGAGAGUGACCUGAACAGUAUCACAGCAGAAAUAAAAGCUCAAGGAGCACUAAAUGAGUUGAUUUAUACUGAACAAGCUGAUGUUGAGGAAACAACCAAAGCUUUCGAAGAGCAACAAUACAUAUUUGGAGAAUAUAUUGAGAUAUUCUGGGCUUAUCUCACCAUUCAACAACUUAUAGAAGCACGUGCUGUAGCACAGGGAGAUGAAAAGGAAAAUAUUACUGCUAAAGCUCUGGAGUUGUCUCUGAAAUACCAUUAACAUCCAUAGUUGUCACAAAGCCAGAAGACAACGAAGAAAAGGAAGCCGUUGCUGACAAACCCACAAAAGAUAUAAUAGCUUUAUUAUGAAGAAUGAGGAGGCCAUAACUAUGAAGAAGAAUAGCAACGUGCAGGAAACUUGCAAGAUGGCAGGGAGGGCAGAUCAACUAUUGCAAUGUGUGUGUAUUUUUCUUUUUUUGUCACAACAUUAUAUACAGGAACAUAUAUUUAAAGGAAACAAUAGGACAGGAACGGUAGUGUUGUGUCUUGCCCGCCCUCAGAGCAGCCGGGGCCUUCUUACCUGCUCCCGAACACUGAGGAAUGUAUGCCUCCCGGCCCAAGUCCUGGCUCCAUGCCCACACAAACUGCAGAAGAAGGAGCAUCUCCCUGCCCCAGCCCUGACUCCAUGCCCAGGCAAACGGAGCAGCUAGACCCCUCCCCCUCCUCCACAGCAGGUGAGCCUGAGGAGGGUUUACUCCCAACAACAGCUGAUUGGAGUAAUCCUCGCAUCAGAAGAUUGGA